UCUCUAUUAAAAGAACACGAAACGUCACUUCCACACGACCUGCAAUUUCUAGAAUGGAGAGAAAGCUUCAGUAAACAUUCAGUAAUAGCAUGCAACAAAGGCAAGUAAAGGCUGUAAUAGAACACUGGCAUGGUGUUCUUAAAAGAAUAAUAUUAUUUGUCCUGUAUUUAGCCAACAUAAAGAUGUAUUGCUCUUGUUUUCUCAUGGUGGGAGAUAUGAAGUUAUGAAGAGAUAGUUACUGGAUCAAAAUAGGAAGAAAUGAUGCCUGGCAGCUAGAAAAAAAUAUUCAUGUGCAUUGAUUACACAAUAAACAAGUAAAUACAGUGGGCCCUACAUCCAAUGACUGGUGUUCUCAUAAGGAGAGAGAGACAAAGAGUAGACAGACACAAGGGAGAAGGCCGUGUGAAGAUGGAGGCAGAGAUUGGAAUGAUACAGCCACAAGCCAAGAAACAUCUGCGGCCGUCAGAAGUUGGAAGAGGCAAGGAAUGAUUUAUUCUUUCCCACUCAUUGUUUCACCAAUGAGCACCUUCCAUGUGCCACCGUUCUGACCGUGCUGACAACGUGGUUUCAGACUUCUGGCCCCCAGAACUGUGAAAGAGUAAAUUUCUGUUAAGUUAUCUUGCUUGUG
rnacentral:lncRNA from 1 species